rnacentral:rRNA from 1 species
GACGGAGGGUGCAAGCGUUGCUCGGAAUCAUUGGGCGUAAAGGGUGCGUAGGCGGCCCCGCAAGUCUGACGUGAAAGCCCAGGGCUUAGCUCUGGAAGGGCGUUAGAAACUGCGGGGCUCGAGUGCCGGAGGGGAGAGUGGAAUUCCUGGUGUAGCGGUGGAAUGCGCAGAUAUCAGGAGGAACACCGGUGGCGAAGGCGGGAUCCUGGGCCAGUACUGACGCUGAGGAGCGAAAGCGUGGGGAGCAAACAGG